rnacentral:rRNA from 1 species
UACAGGGGGUGCAAACGUUGCUCGGAAUCAUUGGGCGUAAAGCGCACGUAGGCGGUCUGUUAUGUCGGAUGUGAAAGCCCUUGGCUUAACUGAGGAAGUGCAUCCGAAACUGGCAGGCUAGAGUACUAAAGAGGGUCGCGGAAUUCCCGGUGUAGAGGUGAAAUUCGUAGAUAUCGGGAGGAACACCGGCGGCGAAGGCGGCGACCUGGGUAGAUACUGACGCUGAGGUGCGAAAGCGUGGGGAGCAAACAGG